CGGGAUCACAUUUAAUCGCAAGUUUUGUAAUCAAUAUCGAAACGUGGUUUUCAUAAAAAUGAUAACAUUCGAGCGAUUUCUAUCGAUUAUUUGUAAAUCGAAAUCGGAUAUAAUUGUGAAGAUAUUUUAAAUUUAAUGCUUUGUAGAUGAAUAUCGCUACAUCGAUAUCAAAGGUAUAGUUGAAAUUAAAAAGUUAAAAAUUAAAUGAAAUUAAAUAAAAUCAUCAAAUCGUUUUACGUAUUAUCGCUGAUACUUGAUAAUUAAAAUACAAAUUAAUCGAGAAACUUAUGUAUUUUGUAACAUGUACAAGAAGAUAGAUAGAAAAAUAGA